rnacentral:lncRNA from 1 species
UCCAGGAGGUGGACAUCAUUACCCACCCGCUCCUGGAGGUUACCCACCCGCUGGAUACCCUCCUCAACAAGGGUAUCCUCCAGCUGGAGGCUAUCCACCUGGUGCUUAUCCUCCUGGACCUGGAGGUUAUCCUCCUGCUCCGGGUCACGGUGGCUAUCCUCCUGCAGGCUAUCCUGCUCCUCACCACUCAGGUAAGAAAAAAACAAACAGUAUCCCUGUUGAAGUGCUCUCCUUUAUUGUUUGUAUAGCACGCUUUUCAAAUGCUGUGUCAAGUUUGGAAGGCUUAAUAAUUGGUGAGAUAGUUUAUAAAAUGUUGAUGUUUGAAUAGGCUACUGCAAAGGGUUGUCCUUGUAGUUUGCUAGAUCACCGACCUGUUACGUUUGAAUGGUAUCAGGAACCAUAGCUUGUAACAACCUUUAUUUUGUUUUGUUUCAUCAGGAC